rnacentral:rRNA from 1 species
UACAGAGGUCCCAAGCGUUGUUCGGAUUCAUUGGGCGUAAAGGGUGCGUAGGCGGCGCGGUAAGUCGGGUGUGAAAUCUCGGGGCUUAACUCCGAAACUGCAUUCGAUACUGCCGUGCUUGAGGACUGGAGAGGAGACUGGAAUUUACGGUGUAGCGGUGAAAUGCGUAGAUAUCGUAAGGAAGACCAGUGGCGAAGGCGGGUCUCUGGGCCAUUACUGACGCUGAGGAGCGAAAGCGUGGGGAGCGAACAGG